GUACCUACCUCAUAUGAUUGUUGUAAGGAUUAAAUGAAUGAAUACACAUAAAGGACUUCAAAUAGGGCUUUAAGGACUAUAUACAGUGUUGGCGGUUCUAUUUUUAUAGUAGAUGCUUAAGAGCCCCCAGGGCUCCAGGUUGCUCCAAACCCAGCUCCUUUGAGCUCUCUUUCCCUCUCAUAGGAGAACAGAUCCUGCUACCCCUUACCCCUGGCCAGGCACUUUGAGGAGGAGCAGCACCGAGAAACAGGACUCUCUGAGGCCUCAGACCUCACCUAGUCAAAGUUCAGGGAUCCGGAGCCUGGGAGGCUGGGGUGGGAGGGAGCGAGGAGGCCGUGCCAGCAGCUGAAUUUGUUCAUCCAGCCUGUCAGUCCCUUAAUCUGAUCCCCGAGGAACACCGCGGAGGCUUCACUCUGGAUGACAAACGAGGAGGGGAGAGGCCUGCCCUGCCUGGACUCCGGGUCCCAACCAUGACUGUAUAAGCAAGAGGACACUGAGAACAGGCCCUGCACCGCCUUUUACUCCUUAGAGGGGUCUCCCCAGUGGUUCAUGCCCAGACCUUGGAAUCCUGGCUCACAUUGGCACUGCCCUCGACUGUGCCAGGUGGAGGCCCCUUUCCACUGUAAGGAGCAGCUCCCUUCCCAACAUCUGGCCAGAUUCUGAGCAUUCUCCACCUGCCAGGUGUCCCCGAAAGCCUGAAGCCACCAGUCUCAUCCACACUCAGGACCA
rnacentral:lncRNA from 1 species